GGGAAACUGCCUGAUGGAGGGGGAUAACUACUGGAAACGGUAGCUAAUACCGCAUAACGUCUUCGGACCAAAGUGGGGGACCUUCGGGCCUCAUGCCAUCAGAUGUGCCCAGAUGGGAUUAGCUAGUAGGUGGGGUAAUGGCUCACCUAGGCGACGAUCCCUAGCUGGUCUGAGAGGAUGACCAGCCACACUGGAACUGAGACACGGUCCAGACUCCUACGGGAGGCAGCAGUGGGGAAUAUUGCACAAUGGGCGCAAGCCUGAUGCAGCCAUGCCGCGUGUAUGAAGAAGGCCUUCGGGUUGUAAAGUACUUUCAGCGAGGAGGAAGGCGUUAAGGUUAAUAACCUUAGCGAUUGACGUUACUCGCAGAAGAAGCACCGGCUAACUCCGUGCCAGCAGCCGCGGUAAUACGGAGGGUGCAAGCGUUAAUCGGAAUUACUGGGCGUAAAGCGCACGCAGGCGGUCUGUCAAGUCGGAUGUGAAAUCCCCGGGCUCAACCUGGGAACUGCAUUCGAAACUGACAGGCUAGAGUCUUGUAGAGGGGGGUAGAAUUCCAGGU
rnacentral:rRNA from 1 species